CAUUCACGAGAAAGAGAGUCCAUUCUGUCACUUAAGCCUGCUCAGUCAAAUGGCACAUCCUGUUCAAUGUUACCGCGAAUAUUUGAAAGAUCCAUUGUAUUAACUAAUAUUUUCAUCAUGGACUACAUGUAAAGUGUAGAUACWGMUUUCAAUACCAGUGUUGUCCUGGAUACAGCUGCUAGUAUCGACACAGCUCUGUCUUCUGUGCCUGGAGCAGUCUGGACUGGUUGAAGCCGAGUUGGACAGAUUAUUUUCAAAGCGUUUCAGACAAGUCUGCUGUGAAUCAUCAUAAUCAAUAUACUAUACCGCAUAAACCUGCUCUCCGCCACCAGUACAAGGAGAUGAUCGAAGGUGAACAAGCAAUACUUCAGCCUGGUGUUGUUGUAGGCAAGGAGCUUUCACUCAGAUGGAACCAGAUUUCAGCUGCUGUGCAAUGUUGAAGUCCUUCCUCCCAGAGAUGUAAAAGCAUCCCCCGGACGAGACACAACCCGGCAAACAUAGAUUUUUGAGAAGAUCAGAAUAUUUGCAAUGAAAAGGCCAUGGCCUGCUCUAAAGGCUAGAUUCCUUUCUUUAUAUCAUAACAUGACCUGAACCACAGUUACUCAAAGAAUCUUAUGAUAUAGGUCUAGAUAUUGUUUUUACCUUUAUUAUACAACAAUAGGCAAUUUCAUACAGUAAAUGGUUUGGUUAAUGGGGUAACUUGGUGACAUAAUGUUCAGAGAAUCCAUUUAGGCAAUUUGGUGAAAGUAUUCAUUUUCUAAAUAUACUGUAUGUUCUCCAAGGAUUAAUGUAGAUCAGGUGUGAAAAUCACAGCAAAAUGUUUGAAUGCCUUUUUCUCCUAAAUUGGAUAUUAGAUUUUUCAACUUUUAAAGCAGCAUUAAUUCCACAUGUUUCCUCCAACUAAAGUGUAUGAUAUGCCCUUUUGAAACUCUGUACAAAACACAAUUUGAAAGUUUUAACAUUUAGUAAUCAACAAAUACAAAAAAUUAUGGGGCAAAAAAUACGAAAAAAUAAGAGAAAGCUACAUGACAAUGCAGUGCCAUAAAAACAAGUUCACAAACUUUCCGCCAUGUUGAGGCGGAUCCGCACCCGUGUUGAGACUGCCGGGGAGAUGCGUCACCCAGAGUGAGGGAAAGUGCUCACUGCUCCACAGCGAGCCAAGAAAAAGAUGGGGUGAGACCACACCAUCCCUGUCUGUUGAUGUAUGCCACCUUUUGGGAUAUAACUUGACCCAUGGGGGUCCCCAGUGACAACAGCCGCGAGUCCUUCCACUGUGCUAGAGCACGUAGACAGGACGGGGACACCUGUAGUGACCGGUUUAGGUGGCGCGAUGUGUACAAGCGAGUGUCUAUUCCCCACCGCCUUUAAAGGUCGCAUCAGCAACAGCCCGAAAGGAACCACAGCUAUCAUAGAAGCCAUCAUCCCCAAUAUGCGCAGGCAGCCGAAAUUGAGCGAAGCCGGAAACCGGUCUCCCUCUGCAAGGAUAAGAACGCACAAUUCUCGACUGGGUCUAACUCAAGACCCAGAAACGGAAUCCGUUGUGGACUCAAACAUCUCUUCUAUUGAUUGACUAUGAAACCCAGAAACUGAACAUGGGAAACCAGCAUGGAUGUGUGUAACACCCCCUACUCACUUGGCUCUGCCACCACCAGCCAAUUGUCCAGGUAGUCCAAUAUCCUGAGCCCCAGACACUGCAUCGGUACCAAACUCAGCUCCACAACCUUURUGAAAGUGCGAGGCGAGAGGGAAAGCCCGAAAGGGAGCCUCAGGACCUUUCUGUGAGGGGAAUAUAUGGCCAUGAAUGUACGCCUCCUUCAGGUCGAUGGAGGUGAACCAAUUGCCCCGGCGCACUGACUGUAACUGUAACAACUAGCUGUUCGUGAGCAUUCUGAAUUUGUAGGUGUGCUUGUUUAGGACACACAGGUCUAAAAAGGGAUGCAAAGUCCAAACCAAGAAAUACCGGCUAUACCAGCCGUCCUGGGCCUCUGACAUAGGAACCAUUCGGUUUGCCUACUUCUGGAGAAGGGAAGAAAUCUCCCUCAAAAUGGGCAUUGAGGCUUCAGGAACAGUUGACAUAAUGAUGCCUUUAAAUCCUUGGGGACACACAAUGAAUUGUAGCCUGUACCCCAUGUCACUGUUUGCAUAAUCCAGGGCAACACUGCGCAUGCAAGCCAUUGGUCUACACAGAGAGUCUCCCAUAAAGUGCCAUCUAAACGGGUUCAACGACACCUUGUGGGCUCUGAGAAUUUUGUUAUUUUUCCAUGCCUUUUUUAAUUUACACAACUCUCGACAAGAGAGUGUCUGACUGUGUGGGAAACAAACUAUUUUUAUUAAGCUCACAUGGAUGACACAACCCUCUUGACACCCGUGAACACCGUGGAACUUGAAAUAAUACUUAAUGUGUUUAAGUGAAGAUGUUUACCUGAAGCCCGGUCCACUCUGGGUUCGGGGGCUUCGGCUACCAGUGACGUACCCGAUAUACCUUGCCACUUAGGGGUACUGUUGUCACAGCGAACAUCUGAAGAGGGGACCAUGCCCCCUCCCCUCUCACCAGGUGCACGGGGGCUGCUGCCUACCCGCCCCAGCCCCUCCAUCCUCUCCACAUCCACGAAGUGGGAAUACCCUUGCAACAUCAGCUUGGCUGAAUGUGGCUGGGCUCAGGUUGUCUUAAGCUCACUUCACAAAACUAGUUACCAAUUAACACACAACGUGCAGAAGAAUGAGCACGCCCUCCUUAAGUGGGACAGUUAAGUUGGAGUAAAGACGUUCCAAUGUUUGUUUUUUAAAGAAAGGCAUGAAUUGUUCUGCUCAGCUCAAGGUGAAGAGCAGAAKAAUUUAAGGAACUAAUCCGUGACUUGGGUUUAUCACCUGUGGAAGGUGGUGCUUGUAAUGAGGCACGGUGUUCAUUGGCCUUGUCAGACGUGAUUCAAAUGUUCUUCCGUAGAGGGCGCUGGUGCGCGAACUCUCCCUAGCCUCCCUAGUUGACCGACUGAAAGUUGAACUAUCAUUGAGGACUAUGACCCUCCGAUGAGCUCCACAACUAGUCAUUCAUAUACCCUGGUUGCUUGUUGUUUGAUUUGAAAUCCCCACACCUGUUAAGGUUUUUCCUCCAGAGAAAAAAAAAAGAUUUACCAGAGGCUCCCAUAGUGCCCGGGAGCUGAGACUCGAGCACACCGUGUAGUCUGUGCCUGGCAGAGGGUUCAUAAUGCAGCCUGAGUUGUUGUCUCACCGGAGCCCGCUGCUUCGCGCCUGCAAGGCUUCUGGGGCUGCUAAAUGUGGGAGUUAUUUCCUUCAAUGAUUUAUUAGGUUAUCUCUACACCAUUGCCCUGGGAUUUCAAGUGGGCUGCAGAGUGAAGAGGCCUAAGCUUUAUCAUCCCAACACUCCUGUUCUGACUCGCUCACUUUGCAAGAAUGCAUAUUCACAUCACUAGCCUAAAACACACAUCAAAGCAUUACAUUCUUUUUUGAUGUGUAGGUUAUUCAUUUAACGAAUGAUUGCCUUUUGUAUUUCCAUAACGCUGUUAGACUGUAGCAAACAAAUUACACAUACAUACUGAAGGUGUUGCUUGGUCGGUUUCAAAGUGCAAUUCCCUCAUUAGUCACAUGUCUGUGCUGUUGUUUGGUCUAGACGGGCAGUGGAUGCCAUCAGAACAUUUACAAUGUCUGAGUGUCAACUUGUUCCCACAUUUCUGUUGAUUUGUUUUGCUCAUGGGUCAAAGUCUUUAAUAUUUUGCAUGAUAGUAACAUUACUCCCUGUAUUCUGUAAGGAUACCUUUUAUAGUCGCCCUAUGUUUUUCAAUGGACAAUAAACACCGUAGCCUACCUUGACUGAACUUGACAGACAAAAAGAGCAUUUCAGAUGCUUCCCCUAUUUAGCCUUAAUUCAUGUGGAAGAAAGUAGGGUCAUUUUCCACAUGAGUUCAGUUUAUGCCGACCCCUUUAGCUGAUCAGUGAAUUGGAUUGGUCGGAACACAAGCUUUUUUGRUUUACUUGAAUUUAUUGAAGAGCUCUGUUAUUACUCCAUUUUCUAUGUAGCCCAUUGCUUCUGAACAUCUUGCAUCAGUACACAGUCAUCUGUGUCCUGGCAUAGGCUGCAAAUGUAGUCAUGGGAGACUAUUUUACCACAAUGAUAAAGAAGUGCUUUGGAAUUUGAUUGCAUCAUUGUGUCUCUUGAUAACAUUUGUCUCUCCUCAUGAAUGAKUUCAUUGCCUGGGUGUGGGCCAUUGUUUUAUUUACAGAUGCCAAAAUGCAAAACGUGUCACUGCUUGACACCACAGGAAGUGAUGGAUUUUUCAUGCCACUUCACCCAUGUACUUAAACUGAGUCAUCAGCCAAUUAUAUGAUAGUACUGAAUCAUCUCUCUAAGUAGAGGACUUUGAAACACUGACCUGCAAUUACUUUAAUAGGUUAAUAUUUACUUUUGACCUGCAAUUACUUGAAUAGGUUAAUAUAAUUCUCUCGUGAAAUAUACUAUCUUUUACGGUCAUUCAGAUGGUUUCAGCCAUAUUGUGUAUGGGAAAUCAAUACCCACAGUAUCAUUGGAUAAGAUAAUAAGAACGUCCAAAGUACAUCGAUAUGCUGCACGCUAUUUUGGAUUACUCUGGAGCUUUUUGACUACACAGUGUCCAGGUGCCCGACUCACUGCUGAAAAAUAUGUUACUAUUGAAAUACAACUGCUAUCAACAUGAUCACCUUUGUUGUAAUUAUAUAGUAGCCAAAAGGCUUAGUAUCUGUUACAUGUUUUUCAAGUAUGAGAUCUUUGCUAAACCUAUGAGAGACAUUUGAAUGUCUUUACAGGGCUGUGAAUGUGAGGAAGCUAUCAGGUCUGAGUGCUCUGAUUAUCAGUCCUCACACUUGAUAGCCCAUCUCCUCUACAAUGAAAGGGGAAAUGGCAGUAAUGGUGAGAGAAAUGCAAUUUAGAUGUGAGACAAACUCUUGAUAAACCACUUCCACUUGUUAAACUACUUACAAAAGCCA